UCCAAAAGGCUGGGCUGACUGGGUCACAUAUUCUGUGAUCAUCACUCACUUGGGACUAGCCGGACUAGGAAGAAAGGAUACUUCACCCUGUGGCUCACUGUGGGCACUCAUCCAACCGACAAGUCAGAAAGAAAAGAAGAAAAGAUGACAUAACACCCACAACCUCCGGCUCUCCGUGCCCACAAAGUGCAGCCAUGUCUAUCUGCCCAGGCCAGAGAAGGCCUUCUGGAGCAUUCCAAUCAGCUGACAUUGCUUAUCUCUUCCUGGAAGAAGGUAUGGGAAGAGUGAAGCAUCCAGCAAGAGCAUGAGCAGAGAAACAGCUGGAGGUAAACAAGAUUGGAAGUAAUCAAAGACACCUGACAGUAAUCAAAGCCUCCUUAUUGUAAGGGCUCCAUUGUCUUCCUGAUCAUGAACUGCCAACUCUCUCACAAAAUAUCGGCAGAGAAACAUUAUAAACAGGAAGGAAGAAGGAACUUUGUUUCAGAAGCUACAGUAAAGCAUCCGCCUUUCCAAAUGGUUCAGAGCCACUGUGUACAGCUCCGUCUGCUAUUAAAAUCUGUUUUCAGAUUAGACACCACCACACACACAUACCUUCAAUUACUAGAGAAUCAUAGUAAUGGUUUUAUUUCUUUUUAAAUGCCCACUAUUAGGCCCACAAGAAAGGAGGGGAGAGCGAGAAAGAAAAAGGGUAGGAGAGGGGCUUGACAGAAGGGAAAAUAAGUCCCUUCCAGGUAGACAAGCUUCAAGUUAAUGAAGUGUUCCUCUAGCAAGAUUCUCAACAAGAUGUGAGACAUUCCUCUGUCCCUGGGGGGUCCCACCAUGGAAACUCGGGUUUGUAAAAAGCCCCCUUUAAAUGUGCCUUUCAGAACUGAAUAUACCAGAUGAGAUGGAGUGGGGCCAACCCAGAUUUAAGUGGGUUGCGGCCAUCCUUCCAUCCCUGAUGAGGAUGGCAGGCUGUACUUCAACUCCACCUUGACCUCAUGCUAAGACUCAAGUCCAGUCGACGAAGUCUAGCGUCGAUCAGUACUCACCCACACUCCACAGGGUAGAAUCACAAGUACCCUCUCCUACCAAAUCUGAUACCCAACUGCCUUCCCCACUAUGCUUUUGAACAAACCCUUCAUUCCAGGUAGGCCAGCCGACCCACUUUCUGUACGAUUUUUGUAUUUUGAACUUUUUAAUAGGAACAUAAUUCUUAACACAUACAAAGUAUCAAAAAUUGUUUAAGGAAGCCCCAAUGUAUCCUUCACUCAGCUUCAGCAAUUAUCAACUCCUAUCACACCCACGCCCAGGAUUAUUUUGAGUCCUUGUGGAUAUAUCAUUUCAUCCACAAUUAUUUCAGUAUUGCAGCCAUUCUUCCCUGCACACCUCUGCUUAGACAGUUCCUCUUCCCAUCCCCAUCUUUCCUAAUUCUAUGUCAUCCUGCAAGGCUCAGCUCAGGUCUAACCUCCUACGUCGUUUCCACUGAACUUAUCACUUAGCCAUGUCACGUUGGGACAUCGCUUUUGUUGCUAUUCUUUGUGUUCCUUACCCCUUAAACUGUUCACUUACAACAACGUCCUUAGCCUUGAAAGCAGGAAACCUCUCCCAGCAUACAUAUACAGCAAUAACAAAUGCUUAGAAGGGAAAGAACUAAAGAAUAAUAAAGAGCAUUACAUUUGGUUGCACAGUUUUAUACAGUAUAUUGACAUAAUUCCUUUUACGAGAAAUGUCUCAUAGCACAGACCAGGGUAUGUUGGCACUGUAUGACAAGGCAAAAAUAACACUGGAUGUGGAGUUAAAAGGCCUGCGUUCUUGUCCCCACCCUUCUGUUUUGUCCAUUAUUUUGGGUCUGAGUGACUUACAAGCCCACCCAUAAAAUAGGAAUUAACUGCAGCCAUCCUCCCUCUUUCCCUUACAGG